GAAUACAGUUAUAAAUUAUAUAAAUUAUACUAUAAAUUAGAAUUCAGUCGACAAUAACACCUUGAUGAUCGAGAUUGCUUAGUCUGCAUAGUGGGGAUAUAGUUUCGUGAAAUCGAUAAAAUGCCUUUGGUUAGGAAAAGAGGCAGACAUUAUGCCCAUGUUAAAUAUGAAAGAGGUACAGAUGCCCUUAAAGUUUUUGAUGAAGUAAAGAGCAAGAUACUGUCCCAUCUGGCAGCAAUACUGUAUGACACUGUAUGACCAAUUCACAGACAAUUUGACAAAGAAUAACAAUAGAACACCAACAAUUCACAUAUGAGACGAUGUUUUAUGGUGAAUGGUUAUAGUAAUUUAGACAAGCAAAACAUGCAUUAAAGACUGUCAGUGUUGCUUGGAUUUUCUCCAUAUGGUCAUUUAAGAAGAAAAUUGAUAGAGGAAAGAUACAGAUAUGCAAGAAUUUAAUAUUUGAAAUGCACUUAAUAUUUCUUUUGUAUAUGACCAUUAAAUUUUGGCAGUCAUUGUUAUCUCUGCUAUACAAACAAAUAUAUCUUGUAAAAUUUAUUCAUAAGAGGAAGCUUUAAUAACAAAUAUCUAACCACAUUAGAUAUUGUUUAUGCCCCAACUACAAUAGUAGAGGGGCAUUAUGUUUUCUGGUCUAUGUGUCCAUUCGUCCGCCCCUUUGUCCGUCUGUCCCUCUCCAGGUUAAAGUUUUUGGUCAAGGUAUUUUUUGAUAAAGUUGAAGUGAAAUCAACUUAGAACACAUAUUCCCUAUGAUAUUAUCUUUCUAACUUUAAUGCCAAAUUAGAUUUUUGAUCCCAUUUCACUGUCCACUGAACAUAAAAUAAUAGUGUGAGUGGGGCAUCCUUGUACUUAAUGGACACAUUCAUGUUUGCCAAUUUUUUAAUUAGUCUAAAACAAAUCUAAUUUUUUUUAUUCUGUGGGAUUCAAAAGAUUUUGUCAUUUGUGAUAAUUAUUUAUUUUGAAGUCUGAGAACAUUUCAUACAAAUUUCAAAUUCUAAAUAAGACAUCUAUACAGCACAUACUCCAUCAUAAAUUGUGUUAAUGAUAAUGUUGACUAUAUAUCAUUUUUAUUAAAGAAAAAAAAUAAUGUAUCGCUUAUUAUGUGCAUUCCUAUGACUAUCCAUACUCUUGACUUACUUAAUAUUCAUGUGUUUACAUUAAUUACAUAUAUUUAAGUAAAACAUUUCAAUGUAUGUCUUCGUAACAAUAUCACACGUAUGAAAUGUUUUUUUUUGUUUUUUUUUUAGCUGUAUAUUCUCUGUGAGGGUUAUUCCAUUAAAAUGUAUCAGGGAGGGAAGUUAAAUUAUUGAACUUGGGUCAUGGGUCUUAAUUAUACCCCUGCUUUCCGUUUAAAAAAAAGGGGGGUAUACUGUUUUACCUCUGUCUGUCAGUCCGUCCGUCCUUCUGUCCCAUGUAUAUUUUUCGUCGCAUUUUUCUCAGGAACUACAAUACAAGGAUUUCUGAAAUUUAAUUUCAGGGUUUAUAUAAGUCAGCUAUACCGUGUGAUGCGUUUUCAGAUUGAUCACUUGACAAUUUCCUGUUUACCGAACACUUGUAUGAUUUGACACAUGAUAGCCAAGUUGAAAAUUUUCGUCACAUUUUUCUCAGGAACUACAAUACAAGGAUUUCUGAAAUUUGGUUUCAGUGUUUAUCUAAGUCAGCUAUACCGUGUGAUGCGUUUUCAGAUUCAUCACUCGACAACUUCCUGUUUACCAAACACUUGCAUAUUUUAACACUAUUAAUAUUAUCCACUUGUGGCGGGGAUAUCAUCAGUGAGCAGUAGCUCGCAUUUUCACUAGUUCAGUUUGCAUCUUUUAUCAUAAUGUAGAAUUAUCUAAAAUAUUGUUCUUAAUUGUAGGGAUAUUUUGAUAGUCCCUACCCACAGGCACUUGUCUCAAAAAAUUUUUUCCUAUAUACCUUAAUAUAACACAA